rnacentral:rRNA from 1 species
GACAGAGGGUGCAAACGUUGUUCGGAAUUACUGGGCGUAAAGCGUGUGUAGGCGGUCAAGUAAGUCGGAUGUGAAAGCCCCGGGCUCAACCCGGGAAGUGCACUCGAAACUGCAUGACUUGAGUAUCGGAGAGGUUGGUGGAAUUCUCGGUGUAGAGGUGAAAUUCGUAGAUAUCGAGAGGAACACCGGUGGCGGAAGGCGCCAUCUGGACGGAUACUGACGCUGAGACGCGAAAGCGUGGGGAGCAAACAGG